rnacentral:rRNA from 1 species
GACGAACGCUGGCGGCGUGCCUAAUACAUGCAAGUGGGACGCAAGGGAACACACUGUGCUUGCACACCGUGUUUUCUUGAGUCGCGAACGGGUGAGUAACGCGUAGGUAACCUGCCUAUUAGCGGGGGAUAACUAUUGGAAACGAUAGCUAAUACCGCAUAAUAUUAAUUAUUGCAUGAUAAUUGAUUGAAAGAUGCAAGCGCAUCACUAGUAGAUGGACCUGCGUUGUAUUAGCUAGUUGGUAAGGUAAGAGCUUACCAAGGCGACGAUACAUAGCCGACCUGAGAGGGUGAUCGGCCACACUGGGACUGAGACACGGCCCAGACUCCUACGGGAGGCAGCAGUAGGGAAUCUUUGGCAAUGGACGAAAGUCUGACCGAGCAACGCCGCGUGAGUGAAGAAGGUUUUCGGAUCGUAAAGCUCUGUUGUAAGUCAAGAACGUGUGUGAGAGUGGAAAGUUCACACAGGACGUAGCUACCAGAAAGGCG